ensembl:lncRNA
CUACAGGUGCACCACAGAGAGUAUCCUGACCGGCUGCAUCACCGCCUGGUACGGCAGUAGCUCCGCCCUCAACCGUAAGACAUUACAGAGGGUGGUGAAAGCUGCCCAUCACAUUACCAGGACGGAGCUGCCAUCUAUGGAGGACCUCUACACUCAGCGCUGCAGGAAGAAGACUAACCGGAUUAUUAAAGACCCUCAUCACCUCGGGAGCUGGUGGGCGGAGCCACACCACUUGUGGGAUGUGUUCCUCUUGCUCCUUCCCUGGCCUCCACGCCCACACGGCCUGCUGUGUCUUCUGACAGUUCCCUCUCCAGGUCCCCGUGCUGGUCUCUCCCCCUGGGGGUCGGGGGGAAACUGCCUCUUUCUGUGUCCUUGCAGCCUCUUGCUGUUAUCCACGGCCUCUCCCGUUGCUCUGUUGAAGCCCCCCCCCAUCCCGGCCUGUGUCUGGGAGUGACCUUCUCCCAGCCUGGAGCGAUGUGUGAUCAGACCACCGCUCACACCCC